rnacentral:rRNA from 1 species
AUGAACUUAGCUUGCUAAGUUUGAUGGCGACCGGCGCACGGGUGAGUAACACGUAUCCCCCCUGCCGAUGACUCGGGGAUAGCCUUUCGAAAGAAAGAUUAAUACCCGAUGGCAUAAUUCUUCCGCAUGGUAGAACUAUUAAAGAAUUUCGGUCGUCGAUGGGGAUGCGUUCCAUUAGGUUGUUGGCGGGGUAACGGCCCACCAAGCCUUCGAUGGAUAGGGGUUCUGAGAGGAAGGUCCCCCACAUUGGAACUGAGACACGGUCCAAACUCCUACGGGAGGCAGCAGUGAGGAAUAUUGGUCAAUGGACGAGAGUCUGAACCAGCCAAGUAGCGUGAAGGAUGACUGCCCUAUGGGUUGUAAACUUCUUUUAUACGGGAAUAAAGUGAGGCACGUGUGCCUUUUUGUAUGUACCGUAUGAAUAAGGAUCGGCUAACUCCGUGCCAGCAGCCGCGGUAAUACGGAGGAUCCGAGCGUUAUCCGGAUUUAUUGGGUUUAAAGGGAGCGUAGGCGGACGCUUAAGUCAGUUGUGAAAGUUUGCGGCUCAACCGUAAAAUUGCAGUUGAUACUGGGUGUCUUGAGUACAGUAGAGGCAGGCGGAAUUCGUGGUGUAGCGGUGAAAUGCUUAGAUAUCACGAAGAACUCCGAUUG